ensembl:lncRNA
ACAAUCCAUCUUGACUGAUGAGGUGAAAUCAGGCUAAUUGAAUUCAGGCAUAACUCAGCGGCUUGUUUGAGUAAGGCUGCCAUGAUAGGAGCUGAAACCCAACACACAUCUCCAGCUGUUUGAACGUAUGAAGUCAAGCAUGAGUUCAGGAUUAAAGUGACCCAUAUACACCAGAACAGAUGGCAGGACCUGCUGGCAGAUGACAGUCCUGAACAGAUCAGGCUUGGAGCUGUUGUUUUCCAGCUGUGCUGGUCUUGCACUGAAGCUCUAAUCAACUGAUUUCCUUCAUAUUCAUUUCUUCUUUCCCUCUCAAGCCAUCUCUUCUCAUGGUGAAAUGUCAGCAUUAUCUUAACUCUUAUGUUUUGUUCUCAUCAUUAUGACAUGAAGAUGGUUUUCUUUUCCCCAAAAAUGCUAAUGCUGCCUUCACAUGCUAUUAAUUAUUAAACCUGUUUUUAUGGUUAUAUGUUUAUAUGGUUACCAAUGAAUGGAAUGCUACAUUAUUACUAUUAAAAGUCCAUUGGAUAUUGACAAAGUAUUUCCUAUACAUUUUGGCUUUAAUAAGAUUUCCCCAAUAAAUAGGCAAGAAUGAGCUCAUGAAUAAGCAGUCCUCCAUGAUUCCUGUUUUUUUCUGAACAAAGCACUUGAACAUGACAAACUCAUAAUUACAACUUUCUGAUAGCACAUAAAGCAGCAUCAUGUUACUGCAUUGGACUAAAACUUAUUGUCUUUGCUCACACAGGGUAUGAUUUUGUGUAUAAAUUUGGUUAAUUUGUAUGCUUUUUCAACCUUGUUACACUUGUGGUGUUCUCAGUCAAAAAUGACCAGCCUACAAAAAUUGCUUGUAAAUUUCUAUUUUAUUACCAAAUAUUGGAUUCAUUUUUUUAAUCAACUUUUCUUUCAAUUUUAAUAAUAUUUUCUUUCAAAUAAUACAGGUAUUUUAUUUACAUUUUUGUCCAUACUGAAAGUCAGCAGAGUCCUGUAUCUUCUUUUGUGUUCCUCAGAAUCAAAAAGACAAUAAUUCGUGAGGUUGAGACAUGACAGAUUUUUCAUUUUUGAGAUAAAUAUCCUUUUUUAAAUCUCUCAAAUCAUCAACAUAGAUGUAAAAGCAUGUAAAAGCAUGGCAGAAUCUGUUUUGAUUACCUUUCAUCUCUAAUGUGCAUGAAAAGGAAAACAAUGCUGUAAGUUUUUAUUAUUCAGUUUGUUAGAAGUAAAAAAGACCUUCCUUUGUUUUUAUUUGUUCAUUUAUGCACCAUAUGUUUGCUUUUUUAUCUUUAUUAUAUUUGGUUAAUGACUCAAUGCCACUAGAAUGGAGGCUAAUGUUUUCUCACAGCAGUGCUUACGAAAAAAUGUAUGUUUGAAAAUGUGGAAAUGGUUAUGUACAUACAUAUAUCUGUUUUGUUUAAUAAUAAAAGUGGUAAAAUGAAGAUGCAUGGUGGCAUUACAGUGAUGUUGUUGAUACUAGCUGUAUUUUAAUGUACAACCUCAUACGCUU